GGAGUUAGCCGGUGCUUCUUCUGCGAGUAACGUCACAGAUGUAAGGUAUUAACUUACACCCUUUCCUCCUCGCUGAAAGUGCUUUACAACCCGAAGGCCUUCUUCACACACGCGGCAUGGCUGCAUCAGGGUUUCCCCCAUUGUGCAAUAUUCCCCACUGCUGCCUCCCGUAGGAGUCUGGGCCGUGUCUCAGUCCCAGUGUGGCUGAUCAUCCUCUCAGACCAGCUAGGGAUCGUCGCCUAGGUGAGCCUUUACCUCACCUACUAGCUAAUCCCACCUGGGCUUAUCCAUCAGCGCAAGGCCCGAAGGUCCCCUGCUUUCCCCCGUAGGGCGUAUGCGGUAUUAGCAGUCGUUUCCAACUGUUAUCCCCACAACUGGGCAAAUUCCCAGGCAUUACUCACCCGUCCGCCGCUCGUCAUCUUCAAAACGCAAGCUUUUAGAAAUGUUACCGCUCGACUUGCAUGUGUUAGGCCUGCCGCCAGCGUUCAUCUGAGCCAGGAUCAAACUCUGA
rnacentral:rRNA from 1 species